GACCUCGGAUCAGGCGUGAAUACCCGCUGAACUUAAGCAUAUCACUAAGCGGAGGGAAGU
rnacentral:rRNA from 1 species